rnacentral:rRNA from 1 species
UCGGGAAUUUUGGGCAAUGGGCGAAAGCCUGACCCAGCAACGCCGCGUGAGGGAUGAAGUAUUUCGGUAUGUAAACCUCGAAAGAAUGGGAAGAAUAAAUGACGGUACCAUUUAUAAGCUCCGGCUAACUACGUGCCAGCAGCCGCGGUAAUACGUAGGGAGCAAGCGUAGUUCGGAUUUACUGGGCGUAAAGGGCGCGUAGGCGGCGCGGUAAGUCACUUGUGAAAUCUCUGAGCUUAACUCAGAACGGCCAAGUGAUACUGCUGUGCUAGAGUGCGGAAGAGGCAACCGGAAUUCUUGGUGUAGCGGUGAAAUGCGUAGAUAUCAAGAGGAACACCUGAGGAGAAGGCGGGUUGCUGGGCCGACACUGACGCUGAUGCGCGAAAGCCAGGGGAGCAAACG